UCCCUUGCCGCGGCCUGCCUGGCGUCCUCCUCUCCAGCCGGGCCUUGCCCCAGGGUGAGCAGCCCCAAGCCUCUCCAGUGCACGAUCGGGCUAGUCAGUUUCGGCCCAGUGUUGUUGUUUUUCUCUGUCUGCGAUUUUUGCCCAUUAAUGCUGAGAAAACAGAUUUGCAGAAAAACCCUUGAACUUCAUGCAUAUAAUAACUUCACAACCGUGCAUCGGAUUAAAAUAAUCUAAAUAUGUAAAAUGCUCAGAAAUUUGUGUAGUUUAAUAAUAUGCUGCUUGCAUCCAUGUUUAAUAUGUUUAAAGUGCUGUUUAUUUCAUUUGCUUAAAUGCCAUGUUAAGCUGAUUUAUUUCAUAACUAAUUAACCGUAACUCGGAAUUUAAUAAACUUUAUAUGUAAAUGGGGUAGAAAAAUGCAUAGAUUAACAUGGUGCACUUCAUUUUGCUGUUUAACAACAUUAAAAUUGUGUUUAUGGCAGAACAGUACGAAUUCCAAAAUAUGAACAUGAGGAUUUUUCGGAAUCGUCGUUUGUUAUUUCCGGCCUCAUUUAAACUUGCCUAGAUAGGUUGUUUAAUUAUGCUUCAACCCUUGCCAUGUUUAAUAACAUUUAAUAUUGUUGGGCACAUAAACGAGAGAGAACUAAAUAAUUAAAUGUGGUGUUUCGUCAAUAUGCAACUCGUUGCAUAUUGAGCUCCACUUAAUUUGUAGUAUUGUUUGUUGCAUUUUGCCAUGCCAUGCCUCUUUAAACCGGACAUGCAUCAUGUUUGUUUUUGCAUCAUGCCAGGUGUAUGUGUUGGUUGUUUACUAUGUUGUUUGUUUCUUUCCGGUUUGCUUCUCUCGUUAGCUUCGGUUUCGUUCCGGAGUUGUGAGGAUUCGUUCGACUUCCUCCAUUUGUCUUCUUCUUGGAAUCGUUCUUCUUCCUAGCGGGAUCUCAGGCAAGAUGACCAUACCCUCGAAAUCACUUCUAUCUUUGCUUGCUAGUUGUUUCGCUAUAUUGCUAUGUCGCGCUACCUACCACUUGCUUAUCAAGCCUCCCAAAUUGCCAUGAACCUCUAACCUUUGUCACCCUUCCUAGCAAACUGUUGUUUGGCUAUGUUUCCGCUUUUGCUCAGCCCCUCUUAUAGCGUUCCUAGUUGCAGGUGAAGAUGAAGAUUGCUCCAUGUUGGAUUAUGUUUAUGUUGGGAUAUCACAAUAUCUCUUAUAUAAUUAAUGCAUCUAUAUACUUGGUAAAGGGUGGAAGGCUCGGCCUUAUGCCUGGUGUUUUGUUCCCCUCUUGCCGCCCUAGUUUCCGUCAUACCGGUGUUAUGUUCCUUGAUUUUGCGUUCCUUACGCGGUUGGGUGAUUUAUGGGACCCCCUUGACAGUUCGCUUUGAAUAAAACUCCUCCAGCAAGGCCCAACCUUGGUUUUACCAUUUGCUACCACCUAUCCCCUUUUCCCUUGGGUUCUGUAGACUCAAGGGUCAUGUUUAUUUUAGACCCCCCCGGGCCAGUGCUCCAUCGAGUGUUGGUCCGAACCGAGCAGCCUGCGGGGCCACCUCGGGGAAACUCGAGGUCUGGUUUUACUCGUAGCUUGACUUAUCCGGUGUGCCCUGAGAACGAGAUAUGUGCAGCUCCUAUCGGGAUUUGUCGGCACAUUCGGGUGGCUUUGCUGGUCUUGUUUUACCAUUGUCGAAAUGUCUUGUAAACCAGAAUUCCGAGACAGAUCGGGUCUUUCUGGGAGAAGGUUUAUCCUUCGUUGACCGUGAGAGCUUAUAAUGGGCUAAUUGGGACACCCCUGCAGGGUAUAAACUUUUGAGAGCCGAGCCCGCGGUUAUGUGGCAGAUGGGAAUUUGUUAAUAUCCGAUUGUAGAGAACUUGACGCUUGACCAUAAUUAAAACGCAUCAACCGCGUGUGUAGCCGUGAUGGUCUCUUUCCGGCGGAGUCCGGGAGGUGAACACAGUUUCUGGGUUAGGUUUGACGUAAGUAGGAGUUCAGGAUCACUUCUUGAUCAUUGCUAGUUCACGACCGUUCCGUUGCUUCUCUUCUCGCUCUCAUUUGCGUAUGUUAGCCACCUUACAUGCUAGUGCUUGCUGCAGCUUCAUCACCUUACCUUUUCCUACCCAUAAGCUUAAAUAGUCUUGAUCUCGCGGGUGUGAGAUUGCUGAGUCCUCGUGACUCACAGAUACUUCCAAAACAGUUGCAGGUGCCGAUGAUACCAGUGCAGGCGAUGCUACCGAACUCAAGUGGGAGUUUGACGAGGACCUUGGUCGUUACUAUGUUUCUUUUCCUGUUGAUCAGUAGUGGAGCCCAGUUGGGACGAUCGGGGAUCUAGCAUUUGGGGUUGUCUUCUUUGUAUUUGGUUUUGACCGUAAUCGGUCUAUGUGUGUAUCUUGAAUGAUGUAUGAUUUUAUUUAUGUAUUGUGUGAAGUGGCGAUUGUAAGCCAACUCUUUAUCCCAUUCUUGUUCAUUACAUGGGAUUGUGUGAAGAUGACCCUUCUUGCAACAAACCACCAUGCGGUUAUGCCUCUAAGUCGUGCCUCGACACGUGGGAGAUAUAGCCGCAUCGUGGGUGUUACAAGUUGUUAAUCAGAGCCAUCCCCGACUUAGGAGCCCCCUGCUUGAUCGAAUCGCUCACGUUGUUGAGUCUAGAACAAAAAUGUUUUGAGUCUUAGGAUUAUACAUAUCGGAGAGUAGGAUUCUUUUUACUCCUCAGUCCCUUCGUCGCUCUGGUGAGGCCUCUUGACGUAGAAGUUUUGAAUUUUCUCUCCUCAAAUUUCACUAAAAAAAAUUAGGAUCACGCGGGUAUCUUGCAAUCGUUCUGAUGGUUUUGUGACGAGAACAUUGUUCUUGGUGCCUCCUGACAUUUAGGGGUUGUGGCAUUGUCCCGGGGAGUUGAGCUCCGAGGUGUUGUCGUCACAAUUUUAUCGUUGCAGUUCUGGGAUACCUGAGUUUCGCCUACAUCGAAAAUCUCUUUUAUGCAGUUGUUGGUGAGAUCACCUCGACGCCACCCAGUACUGGGGCGGGAGUUCGGGAGUAUUGCCAUAACUCGUAUAACGGAUGCUUUUCGAAGGUUGAGGUAAACGAUUUCUGGAGUUUUCUUGGUUACGUGUUGACGGAUGGAUACAGCUAGAUCUAGGGAUUGCUAGUUUGGGUGAUAUAUAUUGUGUCCCCUGUAUCCCCAACACCAGAUUGCAUAACCAGAAAGUUUCGGGAGUUUAUAAUUGGGAAUUCAAGUAGCUCCUAGGAUAUCUUUCCGACAGAUGCAUGAUAUGAGAUUGGGGUUCGACGUCUAGUGGUCCGCCUUUCCACGGUUGGUUUUACAGUGGUAUCGUAGUGUCUUAAAGAGUCCUUGGCUAUGCCGACUCGGGGAUGCUUCGUAUGUCAUGUGCACUGCCUUGUACAUGAUGGUGCUGUACGAUCGAGCCCAUGUGGGCCCCACCACGAAAAGUUCGGACGAAAUCUCUAUCAUAUGUUUGUUCCGGCUUAUUCUGCAAGCCAAUCCUUUGUUUUGUUUUGUGGUAUUCGAGUUGCUUCGAAGUCAAAUGUUAAAUCCAUACUUUUCCUAAACGGUGUUCUCAUAUUUCUAUAUGGAUACUAAUCCUUCUUGAUCUCGAGGUCGUCAUGUUAAUUCUUUCCAAUCGGCGUGCUUCUCUUCAAGUGGAUCCAAUCAUUCCAACAUUCCCAGGAUCGAUUCUAAGCUUUUCUCAACGGUGUUCGUUUCAUCCGACCCAAGUUGCCUUUGUUUUCCCACCCUCCCACCCUUUUAUUCAAGGACUCAGAUUUCUUAAUCAAGUAUCAUUUUAUUGAUGGGAAGCCUCUCCAUCCUUUUCCGUCAAUGUUCUUAUCCGGUGAUUCUCAGGAAGAUGUUCUUCAAGUUUAUCAUUCUUCAUUCUUUUUCUUCUCCGGUGGACUCAAGUCAAGAUUUCAGUGUUGAUCGUAUUCUUUUCCUUGUUUCAAAUGUUUUCUCAUGUCGGUGGAUCUCUUAAUCAUUCACCUCUCGCUUUCCAUGUGUUCCGGAGUGUUGAAGAUAUCUCAGAAGAGUCGCAUUUCCACUCCGCAUCAAUUCUAACUAUUUCGAGGUUGUUACCUCAUUCAAGCCAUUUAAUUCAACCGGUGCUAUCUCCUUUUCAAGUAAUCUUUUCAACGGUGUUUCUUUUGAGUGGGCCCUAACCCACAGGUCUUUUCCCAGGAUCUUACCUGACUCUUAUAAUUCUUUCCGGAGUUAUUCUCAAAUUCAUUGCAAAGUUUGACGUAAGAAUGAAUUAUCAUCAGUCAAAUGUCUUUCUCCAAGAUUUUUCAAAUUCUUUUCAUUGUUGGUUCAACCUUUCUAAUUUUCAUCCCGAAGUAUCUCAACAAUUCAUGGUGGUGUUUCUCAUCAUCAUUCUCAACAUUUGAAGACCGAAGAAGAGUUUCCCUUAAACCUUGUCCAUUCUCUUGAGGAUUCAUGGUUCUAGCUUAUGCCAUCCUCUCAUAAUUGUUUUCGAUUGUGAGAAUUCUUUUCUUACCCAUCUGGAGCAUUUCAGAGUUGUUUUCAUUUCUUGAUCAUCCAAAGGCCAUCAUUUCAGGAGAUUUCUUCAUUCUAAGUUUUCAGCUUCGUUCUCCAAUUAUUCUAAAUUGAUGUCUCUUCGUUCAUCUCCAUAUUCUCCUGGUGCAUCGUUCAAGUAUCCUCUAGUCAGCUCGUGAUCUAUUCGUUCUCGUGUAUCUAAAGUUCCCCAAGUAUCUUCGUUUGUUUUCAAAUUCUUACCGGUGAUUCAUCCCUUUACUUCGUUCGUUUUCAAUUCUCGCGGUGGUUCGUUCAAGAUUUUCUCUUCCUUCGUUAUCAUACCAAUUUAUUCGUUGUUUCAAUCCUACCGGUGGUUCGAUGAAGACCUUCACAAGUUUGCGCAAUAUCUAUCUUAAUCUUGUCUACGAGCAUAAGUAGUAUGCCAAAUCCAUUGCUUGUCAUCAAUUUAAUUGGUGAAGGAUAUGCAUAACAUAAUUCUUAUUCUUGUUUCCUCCAAGUGAUUAAUUCCUUCUUCCGGAGUUCGUUCAUGACAUCAAAUUCUAGGUUCCAAGUUGUUCAUCUUUUCUUUCCGGAGCUCCAAGUUAUUUCAAUUAUAUCAUUUCAAACCUUCAUCUAAUCAUUGCAAGGCUUCACCUUGUGUUGUCAACUUCUCUUUCUUUUUAUCAUCCUUUUAUUACCGGAGUUCUUCAUGGAGUCUCUACAUGGUGGUUCAUCAAAGAUUCUUUUUAUUCUUCAAUUGUCUUCAAGAUUUCUCUUGAAGUUAAGAUCCGCCGAGCUAUACUCUUAAAUAAACAUGGUGCUCAACACAUGUUUUGUGUUGAGGAGUUCAAGCAUUCUUCAUCUUGCAUUCCGAAGUGCAAUUAUCUCUACCUUAUCUUUGGGAUGGUGUUAUGUCAUUUUUGACAAUUUCCUUCAUGUUUCAUGAUUCACAAGUUGUCAGGAAUGAGAUAAUUAAAUCCAUAAUUUUCUGUUCGUUCAAGAGGUCUUUUCAACCAAUCAAUCUCUUUGUUGGAUUUAUCUUGUGUCAUGUUUCACCUAAAGCUUUCCCUAAGGAUUUUGCUAUUUAUGGUGCUCAUAAAUGACCCAAGUUCUUCAAUUAUCCUCCCAGCGAAAAAAGUUUCUCGUCUCCUUGUUCAUAUCAAUCCAAUCUAUUGUUUUCCGUUAGUGGCAGAAUUUCACCUCAAGUUUUUGAGAUGUGUUCCAUAAGCCCACAACAAGCUUGUUCCCUUUGUUGUUGAUUUCCCAACAACUCCGUUAUAACCUUCUUGGAAGGAUGCUUUCCAAGCUCAUUUGUGGCGGAAGUUGUCAUUUUCUUCUCCAUUCUUAUUUCAAGGAUCUAUCUUCUAUUAUUUAUUUCUUUUGGAGGCAUCGUGAUGUUGCUCUCUUCACUCAUCUUCUCGGUUUGUGAGGACCGUGUUCUUUUCGUUCUUAGCCAUUUCCAACAGGAGUGUCAUGCCCUCUUUUCAAGUUAUUCCCAUUCUGUCAAGUUUUGCCUCCCUUCUCAACCGGAGUGCUGUCUGAAAUCUUUCUUACCCCUAGGCCAUUCUUUCGUUAGUUACGGAGGCAGUGUGUUGUUAAAUUCAUCGAGUUUUCCUCUCAUCUUGUCAAGAUCAUGUUCAAUUCCUUCCAUUUACAGUCGGAGUGCUGCCCAAAUUAUAUCAUUCUUAUUCCUUCCCUAUCUUGUUUUUACUGGAGUGGUUUAAAUAUCUAUCGUGCCACUUAACCUCAAGGUUCUCAUGGUGUUCCUUGUUUUCCGUUUACUACGGAGUGAUCUCAAUUCGCUUAUCUACGUUGUGUCAUUUCUUUCGAUUUGUUCAACCCCGCAAGGUUCUUUGGUUUCACUCAUUUGUCUAAGAAGCAAUUAGUUUUACCUCUUCUCUUCCUCUUCCGUUUUUCUCUGGUGCCAUCCUAGAUCUCGGGAUGAGAUCCUCUUGUAGUGGUGGAGUGUUGUAACGCCCCGAGACCGACGCUCCAGAUGCCUACAUUGUUUUGCGAGUCGGUAGUGUUUUUAUUUGUUUGUUGCAUCUCAUCAUGGCAUCAUCCCCAUUGCAUCGGCACUCGUUGCCGUCAUUGUUUUUAAAAACUGCAUCCGCUCGUAGUUGCCGCUUCUUUCGUUUCUCGGUUGACCUUGUCUCUGAUCAACCGGACCGCUCUCUUCUCUCUCUUUUCUGAGCUCAUCAAACCCCUUGCCUUCGUUGAUCGUUCCGAGACCAACCGGGUUUUUCGAGUCCCUAUCGUCUGGCCGCUUAAUCUUUCUCCACAGUGCAUAGACCCCUCGCGUGCGCGUCCGAAAUUGUCCCGAACCCGAACCGGACUAUCGUCACCGUUGGGUCCGGAUCAUCCCCUAACAUCUACAAAACAUCUCCGUUUUCUUUGUUGGACGCUCUAGCCUACUCAUUAUCGACCGCCCGAUUACGAUCGGACGGAUCGUGUUAAACCCCUACCCUAAUCCCCUACCUAUAUAAAUAGUCCAACCAUAAACUUUAGGAAGCUUGUCCCAUCCUUCCCACUCCGCCGCCACCAUCUUCCUCGGGAUCCAAGCCCGCAGCCACCCUCUCUCCUUCCCUCGUUUUCCCCACCGGACCAAUCCUUCCCCUCGACUCAGAGCGCCCCUGCAGCCUCCCGCGUCUGAUCCAGGGAGAGCAGCACCCUCCCGAGUUCCUCCAUGCCGUGCCCCUUCUCCAAGUCCUGCGCCUCUCCUCUAGCUCCCUGCCGUCGUCCCCGGCGAGCAGUUCUGCUAGCACCACCAGCAGGACAGCCACGCUCGCGCCUCUCCUUCCUUUCCCUUUCUUCUCCUGUUGCCUUUCCCUCUCAUGCUCUCUCUCUCUCCCAGGUACGCCCAUCGCCAAGCUGUUGCCGUGCGCGCCUGGAUCCGCCAUCCCCGGCUCCUCCGCGCUCGAUUCCCGUCGCUGCGCCAAGUCCCUCGCCCCGCCUCUGCGUCUCUGCUCCUUCCUCGACGCCGAGCUCGCCAAGCUCCGCCACCUCGACCUUCUUCUCGCCGGAGUCCCACACCAACCGCCGCUGCGAGUCGUCCUCAACGCCUUGCCCGCCUUUGGUCGCUCAGCCGGCGAGCCCAGUCGCCGAUGAAGACCCGCAGGUCGCCGUGUGCCCCUGCUCCUCCUUCGCUUUUCCCCUCUUCCUCCCUGACCCCUUUCUCGCGCCCGUGUCCUGCAGGAGCGCGUCGCAGCCGCCGCCCGGAUCCACCGCCUCCUGCCGCCCUUCACCUCCUGCCGUCGCCCGGAUCCAGCGCCCCUUCGCCAGUCCCUCCCCGGCGCCGUCUUCUGCGUCGUCGUGUUCUACUGUUGCUUAUGUUGUAAACGAGCAGAGAACGAGCGCACGCUACCGCCCCCGCGUUGACCCGUCGCCGAGCCCGGCCUCGCGGCUUGCUUCCUCACGGGCCACAACCCACAGCUGGCCCAGCUCCCUUGCCGCGGCCUGCCUGGCGUCCUCCUCUCUAGUCGGGCCUUGGCCCAGGGUGAGCAACCCCCAUCCUCUCCAGUGCACGAUCGGGCUAGUCAGUUUCGGCCCAGUGUUGUUUUUUUUCUCUGUCUGUGAUUUUUGCCUAUUAAUGCUGAGAAAAUAGAUUUGCAGAAAAACCCUUGAACUUCAUGCAUAUAAUAACUUCACAACCGUGCAUCGGAUUAAAAUAAUCUAAAUAUGUAAAAUGCUCAGAAAUUUGUGUAGUUUAAUAAUAUGCUGCUUGCAUCCAUGUUUAAUAUGUUUAAAGUGUUGUUUUUUUAAUUUGCUUAAAUGCCAUGUUAAAAUGAUUUAUUUCAUAACUAAUUAACCGUAACUCGGAAUUUAAUAAACUUUAUAUGUAAAUGGUGUAGAAAAAUGCAUAGAUUAACAUGGUGCACUUCAUUUUGCUGUUUAACAACAUUAAAAUUGUGUUUAUGGCAGAACAGUACCAAUUCCAAAAUAUGAACAUGAGGAUUUUCCGGAAUUGUCGUUUGUUAUUUCCGGCCUCAUUUAAACUUGCCUAGAUAGGUUGUUUAAUUAUGCUUCACCCCUUGCCAUGUUUAAUAACAUUUAAUAUUGUUGGGCACAUAAACGAGAGAGAACUAAAUAAUUAAAUGUGGUGUUUCGUCAAUAUGCAACUCGUUGCAUAUUGAGCUCCACUUAAUUUGUAGUAUUGUUUGUUGCAUUUUGCCAUGCCAUGCCUCUUUAAACCGAACAUGCAUCAUGUUUGUUUUUGCAUCAUGCCAUGUGUAUGUGUUGGUUGUUUACUAUGUUGUUUGUUUCUUUCCGGUUUGCUUCUCUCGUUAGCUUCGGUUUCGUUCCGGAGUUGUGAGGAUUCGUUCGACUUCGUCCGUUUGUCUUCUUCUUGGACUCGUUCUUCUUCCUAGCGGGAUCUCAGGCAAGAUGACCAUACCCUCGAAAUCACUUCUAUCUUUGCUUGCUAGUUGUUUCGCUAUAUUGCUAUGUCGCGCUACCUACCACUUGCUUAUCAAGCCUCCCAAAUUGCCAUGAACCUCUAACCUUUGUCACCCUUCCUAGCAAACUGUUGUUUGGCUAUGUUUCCGCUUUUGCUCAGCCCCUCUUAUAGCGUUGCUAGUUGCAGGUGAAGAUGAAGAUUGCUCCAUGUUGGAUUAUGUUUAUGUUGGGAUAUCACAAUAUCUCUUAUAUAAUUAAUGCAUCUAUAUACUUGGUAAAGGGUGGAAGGCUCGGCCUUAUGCCUGGUGUUUUGUUCCCCUCUUGCCGCCCUAGUUUCCGUCAUACCGGUGUUAUGUUCCUUGAUUUUGCGUUCCUUACGCGGUUGGGUGAUUUAUGGGACCCCCUUGAUAGUUCGCUUUGAAUAAAACUCCUCCAGCAAGGCCCAACCUUGGUUUUACCAUUUGCUACCACCUAUCCCCUUUUCCCUUGGGUUCUGCAGACUCAAGGGUCAUCUUUAUUUUAGACCCCCCCGGGCCAGUGCUCCUUCGAGUGUUGGUCCGAACCGAGUAGCCUGCGGGGCCACCUCGGGGAAACUCGAGGUCUGGUUUUACUCGUAGCUUGACUUAUCCGGUGUGCCCUGAGAACGAGAUAUGUGCAGCUCCUAUUGGGAUUUGUCGGCACAUUCGGGUGGCUUUUCUGGUCUUGUUUUACCAUUGUCGAAAUGUCUUGUAAACCGGAAUUCCGAGACAGAUCGUGUCUUUCCGGGAGAAGAUUUAUCCUUCGUUGACCGUGAGAGCUUAUAAUGGGCUAAGUUGGGACACCCUUGCAGGGUAUAAACUUUCGAGAGCCGUGCCCGCGGUUAUGUGGCAGAUGGGAAUUUGUUAAUAUCCGGUUGUAGAGAACUUGACACUUGACCCUAAUUAAAAAGCAUCAACCGCGUGUGUAGCCGUGAUGGUCUCUUUCCGCGGAGUCCGGGAGGUGAACACGGUUUCUGGGUUAUGUUUGACGUAAGUAGGAGUUCAGGACCACUUCUUGAUCAUUGCUACUUCACGACCGUUCCGUUGCUUCUCUUCUCGCUCUCAUUUGCGUAUGUUAGCCACCUUACAUGCUAGUGCUUGCUGUAGCUUCAUCACCUUACCUUUUCCUACCCAUAAGCUUAAAUAGUCUUGAUCUCGCGGGUGUGAGAUUGCUGAGUCCUCGUGACUCACAGAUACUUCCAAAACAGUUGCAGGUGCCGAUGAUACCAGUGCAGGCGAUGCUACCGAACUCAAGAGGGAGUUCGACGAGGACCUUGGUCGUUACUAUGUUUCUUUUCCUGUUGAUCAGUAGUGGAGCCCAGUUGGGACGAUCGGGGAUCUAGCAUUUGGGGUUGUCUUCUUUGUAUUCGGUUUUGACCGUAAUCGGUCUAUGUGUGUAUCUUGAAUGAUGUAUGAUUUUAUUUAUGUAUUGUGUGAAGUGGCGAUUGUAAGCCAACUCUUUAUCCCAUUCUUGUUCAUUACAUGGGAUUGUGUGAAGAUGACCCUUCUUGCGACAAAACCACCAUGCGGUUAUGCCUCUAAGUCGUGCCUCGACACGUGGGAGAUAUAGCCGCAUCGUGGGUGUUACAUGCGGUCUACAAAAAGUUAUUUUGGACCUCUUGUCGCACGUCUGCGCCGCCUGUCCUCGGCGAGGGGAAUUCUUGAUGGAAGUAACCCCCUUGGUCAGUGCAGGGAUCCGAACUCCGAUAGAGUCAGAUUUAGAUGUUUGUCUUGUUCGUCACCUGUUUUUAAGAGAUAGUGAAGGGAGAAAUAAAAAGAAAAUGGAUAAAAAAUGUUACGGGGAUGCUUGCAGGCUUGUCCGUAGUGUGCUUCCGCCAAUGCCCAUGGUAUCUUGAGUGAGUAGUGAUGUAUGCGCGGCACAAAUUUUGUAGGUGUACGAGGUGGGCGGCGGAAGCCGUACUGCUAUUUUCGCUCCAGGAGUAGUUGAUCCUCGGGUGGAAAUUGCUUCUGACCCCCGGUAUUUCGUUGGUGAACCUCUCCGUCAUCCCUGUUGCCUGGCGGCCUCCUCCCCUUGUGUUCGGCGUUGAGCUUGCCAGCCUGCUUAAAGACCCAACAGUUUAUGUUAGUAUGAUUAGCUGGUUUAUCGGGGUGGCCGUGAAUCUGGCAAGGUCGGUCAAAUAUCCUGUCUAGGUUGGAUGGUUCGUCUCGGUUCGCCUUGAAUGGCUUCUUCCAUUGACCGGGCUUGGGAUUGCUGAAUCCGGCGUUGACCGCUGUGUCGCGUGAUCUUUCAUUAUCAUUGCCACUGUUGUAUUUGCUUCGUCGUGGCUUGCAGUUGCCGUCUCGGAUUUCGGAAGUGCCCGGGUCGCUGGCGCUGUUGCUUCUACGAGCGAGCCAGCUGUCUUCUCCCACGCAAAAGCGGGUCAUCAGAGCAGUGAGGGUUGGCAUGGAUUUAGGUCCUUCUUGACCGAGGUGGCGUGCAAGCCAUUCGUCUCGGACACUGUGUCUGAAAGCCGCAAGGGCUUCCGCGUCCGGAGAGUCGACGAUUUGGUUCUUUUUGACUAAGAACCGAGUCCAGAGCUUCCUGGCUGACUCUCUGGGCUGCUUGACAAUGUGACUUACGUCAUCGGCAUCUGGUGGCUGGACAUAUGUUCCUCGGAAGUUGUCGAGGAAGGCCUCUUCCAAGUCCUCCCAGCUGCUUAUGGAAUUUUCAGGCAGGCUAUUUAACCAGUGCCGAGCUGGCCCUUUUAGCUUUAGUGGGAGAUAUUUAAUGGCGUGGAGGUUGUCUCCAUGAGCCAUAUGGAUGUGGAGAAUAAAAUCCUCGAUCCAUACUGAGGGAUCGGUUGUUCCGUCAUAUGAUUCAAUAUUGACGGGCUUGAAUCCCUCGGGGAAUUCAUGGUCCAUUACUUCAUCUGUAAAGCAGAGAGGGUGUGCGGUGUCUCUAUGUUGUGCCACACUGCGACGUAACUCCGAAGGAUUCCAUUUGCUAUUUUCGGCUCGGGCGUGUCUGGGUUUGUCACGUCCGGAUAGGUAACCAUCGUCGCGUGUCUGGGAGUGCCCUCGUGGUCCGUAUAUCGAUUUUGCAUGUCCUGCUCUACUGUCCAAGUCCCACUGAAGGUCGUCUGGACAACCGUGAACUGCGUUAUUCUUACCUUUACGGCGAGGUGGGGCGGUCUGGUGUUCGGCUUGAGUUGCCUCUUUAUCCGGACAGAGUUGUCGACGACCUGCCACAUUGUGUGAUGAUGGUACGGGCUCCAACGCCUCGUCAUCGAACUGAUGUAGCAAUCUAUGCUUCGGGUAGCUUUUGGCUAGGCCACUAAGGCCGUAUUCUUCGGCGGCCAGGACUUCGGUCCAUCUAUCGUUGAGUAGGUCUUGGUCAGCUUGAAGCUGCUACUGCUUCUUUUUCAGGCUCCUUGCAGUAGCUAUUAGCUUGCGCUUGAAGCGCUCCUGCUCGAGGGGCUCUUCGGGUACGAUGAAGUCUUCGUCGCCGAGGCUUACCUCAUCUUCGGUGAGCGGAAGGUAGUUGUCGUCCUUCGAAUUGUCGCUGGGCAAGGCCUGUUCAUCAGGGCUAGCUUGCCCGUUUUCCUUUUCCUCCUGUUCGGAUCUUGCUCCAACAGGGUCUUCAUUGUUUUCGGCGUCGUCCGGGGUACUAUUUUCUCCGGUGCCAGCGUUGCUGCGAUGUGACUAACAGCGGCGUUUAAGGCGCCGGUACUUAGACUGUGUCUCAGGAGGUUUAUUCUCAACGGGGUCUUCUUUGUCAUCUUCGCUAUCUUUUUUAGGUGUAUCAACCAUGUACACGUCGUACGAAGAGGUGGCCAUUCCACAUCCCAUGAAUGGCGGGUCUUGGCCUUGCUCCUUAUCGGUGUCGUCGUCUAUACUAUCGAUGUCUUCGGAGCCAUAAUCAAGCAUGUUGGUUAAGUCCUCGACAGUGGCUAUGAAGUGGGUGGCAGGUGGGAAGCAAAAUUCUCCAUUAUCAGCCUCUAGCUAGAACCGGACAUAGUUCGGCUGUGAGUCCCCCGCCAAGGACAUGUAUUUUAAUGAAUUUAGAACAUCACCCAAGGGUGUGUGUUGGAAGAUAUCUGCAGCGCUGAACUCGAAGAUCGAUAACCGAUCCAGCUCUGCGCCCGCAGGCGUGCGUGGUUCGGAACUUAUAGCCGGAGACGAGUCCGGAAUUCCGUUGACGCAGACAUUGCAAGGUGUUGAGUCCAUGUGCGGCUCCAACGUCGCGGAUUCUGCGGUUUCGGAUGGCGCAAUCUGCUCCGGAUCUAAGGCCGUAGCAGUUAUAGGAACCAUCUCCUGAAUAUGGUCCGAUGACAAAUUUAAGUCGUGUUCAUCGGAGCGAGGGGGAGCGAUUGCCGCUGUCUCAAAUCCAUUAAAGAUCAGGUCUCCAUGAAUAUCCGCAACGUAGUUCAAGCUUCCAAAUCUGACCUGGUGGCCAGGGGUGUAGCUAUCGAUCUGCUCCAGGUGGCCAAGCGAGUUGGCCUGCAGUACGAAGCCGCCAAAUACGAAAAUCUGUCCGGGGAGGAAGGUUUCUCCUUGGACAGCGUCACUAUAGAUGAUCGAAGCGGCCAUCGAACCUUUCAUCGACGGCACAGUGGAACUCUCAAUGAAAGCACCAAUGUCGGUGUCAAAACCAGCGGAUCUCGGGUAGAGGGUCCCAAACUGUGCGUCUAGGGUCGAUGGUUAUAGGAGAUAGGGGACACGAUGUUUACCCAGGUUCGGGCCCUCUCUAUGGAGGUAAUAACCUACUUCCUGCUUGAUUGAUCUUGAUGAAUAUGAGUAUUACAAGAGUUGAUCUACCACGAGAUCGUAAUGGCUAAACCCUAGAAGUCUAGCCUAUAUGACUAUGGUAAUGAGUAUAUGCUUUCCGGACUACACCCUCCAAUUUAUAUAGACAGCGGGGGGAUCUAGGGUUACAUAGAGUCGGUUACAUAGGAAGGAAUCUUCAUAGUUGAUCGCCAAGCUUGCCUUCCAUGCCAAGGAGAGUCCAAUCCGGACACGGGUACAGUCUUCGGCCUUCGUGUCUUCACAGCCCACCAGUCCAACCCAUGGAUAACAGGCCGGACGUCCGAGGACCCCUUAGUCUAGGACUCCCUCAAUAGGUUUGCUCACACUCCGGUCCCACAUGUCAGUGAUACGCCAAGUGGAGGUGCGUUGACCGACUGGCCAUACGCGUACUUGGUUUUGCACCUUCAUACUAUUCGUCCCUCCAUCACAGUUACAUGGCGCGCUUCAUUAUGAUGCAUUUCUCUCAAUGCAUUUCGACCACCAGAGAGACUUUAGACGCAUUUGGUUUAAUGCUCAAUUAAUUAGGGCAUGGUAACCGCAAUUUUCUCUCGAUGUAGUACUACGGAGUGGAGUAAGUGCAUGCAUGUGUGUACCCGGGGUGGAAGCACUGCAUGCAUUUGUGUACGCAUUAUUUCCUCUAGUAAUAGACGCCGUGCUAUAACUACCAAUGCUAUUUUUCAGGCCGAUCGCUAGUCGCCUUGGUCCCAGAGAUGCUCUCUUUUUCUGAAGCGCGCUCUAUAAACAGUGAUGGAUGGAGUAGUAUGAGCGGAUUCAAAGGCUGUCACAACCCUAGCUUAGUCUUGCCUCUCAUUGAAUAAUCUCCAUGCAUCAUGUUUACUUUCACUCAGAAACUAUAAAUGGUGAUGACAGAACCCCCAGCACCCUCUUAAUCCAACUAGGGUUUACCAAAAUACUUUUCCAAUGAACCUGAAAUGCCCUUCAAAAAUGUUCAUCAUCUUUGCCUUGGUCUAGAUCCUCUGACAAAAAUGGUGCACACUUUUCUAGGACAUCAUAAGGUCACUGGAUUAAAUCAUUGUUAUUUGCAUUUGGACAUUUAAAUGCUAUAUUUUAUUUUAAAUGUCAAAAUAUUCAUGAACUACAUUGUUUACUGUUGGAAUUAUUCCAAACAGUAGCCUUGAGCAGUUUCAUGAAUUUUGAGUUUGUUUUGGUAUUUUUAAUAAAGCCCUAAAGUUACAGAUUAAUAGAAAACAAAAACAAAUAAAAGAAGAGAGAGAGACCCACCUGACUUACCUGGCAGCCCACCUGGCCCAGCUCCUCCAGUCGGCCGUCGUCUCCCACCUCUGCCAGAAGGCAGAGGCGUGUCGCCCGCGCGCGCACCGGACGCCACCUCCUACCUCCACAUCAUGCUUCCUCCCCCGCCCUCGACCGAGCGCCUGGAGACGCCCCCGACCCCCUGGUCCCUCUUGCUCACUCCCUCAAGCUCAUCCCCCUCCUCUGUUCUCUCUCUCGCACGCACCCGAGUGCGCCCGUCGCCGCCGCUCGCCGUAGACAUAGCCACCGUGCUCCCCUCGCCUCCCCGUGUUGUCCAUUACCUCUGCCGCGACUCUCUCGACCUCCUCAAAGAACUGCACGCCACCGGACGCGCCGCAACAUCCUCAUCAUCGUCGCCUUCAAGCUCGGACGCCGGAGAUCGCGUUCGCCGCCCCGUCUAUCCCAAGCCGUCCUCGAGCCCGCUUCAACGCCCCCUGCACGCGCCGUGAGCACACGCGUCUUUUCCCUCCUUCCUUCCCUUCGAUUUCGAGCCGUAGACGCCGCCCCACUGCCGACCAUAGCCGCUGCCGCCUGAGCUCGUUCCUGAUGCAACUCCGGUGACCAAACGGUCACCCUGGCAUGCCCAACUCGCUCCGCGCAACGCGUAACGCCCUGCUAGCUUUUCGCCUAGCUCCUUUACCCACCGCAACGCCAUCCCCGCACGUUCCCGAGCUCCGGCCGCCGCAAAGCUCCUCGUCGGUGCCUCUGCAGGCCACCCCAGCUCCAGCCGCCUCCACCACUGGAUGUGCCACUCCGCCAGCUCCUCGUAGAUGCUCCCCGCGCACCAAACCGGACCCCGUAGCAAAAUCCCGAUGCCCUCCACCGCGUUUUGGUCGCCGUCGGCAGAACUCGUUGACCGACCCCACACGUAAGUGCUGACUUGCUGACGUGGCUAUUGACCCGACCCCACCUGUCAGCGACACUAACCAGCACUAGGUCACUGACUGGUGGACCCCACACAUCAGGUUUGACCUGGACCGUCCUCCAUUGACUCGCUUAUGUCAUGCUGACAUAGUGCUGAUGCAUUAAUGCAUUUUGUGGAAUUAGUUUAAUUCUAAAUAAUUAGAAAAUCCAGAAAAUUUCCUAAACUUCUAAAAAUGAUAGAAAAUCAACCGUAACUCCAAAUGAAAAGAUUUAUAUAUGAAAAAUGAUCAGAAAAAUCCAAUCUAUCCUUUGGUACUAGUUUCAUGCAUGAUAAAGCAAUUUAACCAUGUUGUUCAUAUCAAAACAUGAUAAUGCACUUUAUAAAUUCAUAACUUGAGUUUGAAUUUGAACCCUUGGUUCAAAUCAACUCAAACCCUUCUGUUGCUAGCUGCAUUAGCUCAAAUCACAGCAUACUGCCAUGUCAUGAUCAUGCAUCAUAUUGUGCAUUGCAUUGAUCGUGUUUCUUCUCUGUUUGCCGGUGUUGUUCCCCCUCGGUAGACGUUGUUCCGACGAUGUGAUCGUUGACACUAAUGAAGACUCAAUGCUAUCUGCAGAAGUGCCAGGCAAGCAAAUCCCCCUUGUCCAUUCCGAUACAAUCCCACUCUCUCGCUCCUGGUCUCUUUUACUGCAUUAGGACAACAACGAUUCAACUGUUACAUGAUAUGGUUGUUGAACCCCUUUUCCUCUGCAUGACCUGUCAUUGCCACAGUAAAUAGAUGAAACCCACUAGCAUGAGUUGGAGUUGUUAGAGCCCUGAUGUGCCUACUCAUUCAUGCUUGUUUGUCAUGCCUGCUACUGCUUAGAGUUGAGUCAGGUCUGAUUCAUCGGGGAUGAAUUGGAAUGGUGAUGAACAUGUCCUACUGUGUGUGAGCUAAGUGUGUGAACACAAUUUGGUAAAGAUAGCGGUGAGAGGCCAUGUAGGAGUACAUGGUGGAUUGUCUCAUUGAAACCGUCCUCAGGAACUGAGCUCUGUGUUUGUGAUCCAUGAAAAGCUACUACCACAUGUUGGGCCCUGAAAUAUGACCCCGCUCCACUUGCUGUAGUUAAACUCCACCACCCCCUUUGUUGAUACCGAUGCAUAUGUAGUUAGUUCUGAUGUAAGUCUUGUUGGGUACAUUUGUACUCACGUUUGCUUAAUUUAUGUUUUUGCAGAGAGACUUCAGUUUUUCUAGUAGUUCCGCGUGGACUUCGACAUUUAGCUUGUUACCUCAGCUACGAUCUUGUGCCCUCGGCACGGUCUGGUAGAUAGCCAGGCUUCUCAGUUUUUUCUUUUGUAGUUUUCUGUACUCAGACAAGUUAAGCUUCCGCUUGUGCACAUUGCUAGUAUAACUUGAAUGUUGGGUCAUGAGACCCAUGAUUGUAAUACUUGGCUCCUCGGAGCCUAAUGAAUAAAUACUUUGAG
rnacentral:lncRNA from 1 species